rnacentral:rRNA from 1 species
CUUGUGGGAAAACUGUCUCCAUACAAUAACAAAGAUACAACUCUUAGCG